CUAAUUGAAAUGUUGAUCUCUGAUUACGUUAUACUGCAUAUGAGAUCUAACAACUAUCAAUAUGUAGUUUCGCUUUUGUAACCUUUUUUUGACCCUAGAAAGUAUUUAUAUUGACCAAUCAAAAUCGUCCUAAUUAAAGGGCUUCAAAAGAAUGUUUGAAGAUGGCGACGAAGGAUGAAAGAGGAUUUGGAAAACGAAUAAACAGAUAUUUUGCCUCAUCACAAAGUUUAAUGGCUAAAUUGUUAGUGUCUGAUCAAACAGUAGUUUGGACUCCAAUCUGAAAAACCCUAGAUUCUGACAAUGUUUCUUUCAAUUUGUGACUGGGCCAAACAAAUAACACGGUGGAGGGAACUCUUAAAACACACAGACAGUGACACAGAAAAAGCCACUACAAGCAUCUGAAGAUGAAUCUGAGAAUGGCACUACAGAUAUAGGUUGUGAACCAGCUCUAGAGUUUCAACAUACAGAUCUUAGCCUAUGGUACAUGUAUUCAUUCUCGUCCCUGGUGACACUUGCUGACAGAAGGAAAAUCAUAUUUCUUAGAUUUACAUGUUUUGUUCAUGCCUGUUCCUUUGCAUUUGCACCCAUGCUUGUUUUGCAGCAGCAUGCAAUGAAAUUCCUUUUGUUUUACAAAUUACAUUUUCAAUUUUGUAUGUCAAAAGUUCUAUUGCACUCAUAACCUGACAAUAUGCCAAAUAAUAGUUUGUAUAAAAUUGCAUCCUUAAUAAUAAUAUCAGCAACCCUACAUCCAGAGUUACUCUUCUCACAAUAACAAAUAUAAAAAAGAAGAUGUGGUACGAUUGCCAAUGAGACGACUAUCUACAAAAACUUUUUCAUUCUUGGCCUACUUUUUAACACUAUUUUAUUAUAGUUUUUAGUUUUUUUGGAACAGAUUUUUAUAUAAUUUAUGUCCAUUUUCUUCCGUGAUAUACUGUACAGGAGAUUAACUUUUAAAUAACAUUAAUUUUUUGUUUCAAUUACAAUUGAACUUUUUAUAUUAAUUUAAGAUUUCGGUUAUGUUGAACUGUGAUGUUUAUACUUUUAAUGAUAUACAUGUAUAUGUAUCGAAUAAACUUGACCAACGUCUUAUAAUCUGGCAGACUGUAAGUGUACAUUCAGACCAUAUGCAUAUUUUGAAAAAGUAUUCAAAUAUGGAUCGGACCUAACUCUUUAUUAUUAUUUAAAUGAUAUAUAUGUAAGAGUGGGAAAUUUAGAUAUUUGUGCAACUGAUUAGUGGAUAAGGUACAUCCUACAUUUGAUUUGCAAGAAUUUGGAUUGAUCGUUUGUCAACAACAAUUCAUAGUAAUGAGGGAAUUUUUUUUUUAUUUCAUUUGACUUUUUAAUAUUUUUUGUUGUUGUUAUUUGUUUGAAUCCUAUUAAGUAUCCUGAAUUUUGGUCAUUGCUUUAUAUAUGGUAUAGAGGCAUUUACCACAUGCACAUCUAGGUUGCCCAAAUUUCAAAAGUGUCAUAGGUUUGAUAUAUUGGUUUUGAGACGGAACUUUUUGCAGGUAGGGGUGUGUGUCACCGGAUACAUGUAUCAAUUUUGUUUCAUUAUUGAACAUAUUGUUUUAUUUGUGUUAUCAGUGUUAUAUGUUUCACAUUCAUAUCAUAUUCAUGUUUCUUGACGAUUGAUGACAAAUAGUUUUGCGCUGCAUAUUUUGAAACAAUUUAUUGCUUUGUACAUUUUGUUUGGUUUUACGUACUGAAUAUUUAAAUUAGUACAAUAGAAAAUUAAAGCAAUUCUUUAUUAUUUAAAUUUUAUUUAUAUAUAUUCAAAUGGCAUGAGUUGUGCAUGAACUCAAAGCGCAUCAAAAUUAACCAUAUAUACAUGUACACUAAUAUAAGCACUUUUCGAGAUAGUCACUGGUCCAUAUUAUACACUCAGGAAGGUGGAAGACGAAAGUCACCGCUUCAGGUACAAAAUGUACUUGUAACUUUAUAUAUUCUUUUAGCCUUGUUUAAAAUGUUUCAAUUAAAGUAAAGUUACUUUAGGUUUUUCAAAUAUAUAGAAUUCAGUGUGGCUUGAAAGCCACAUUUUGGUAUGCAAGUUAAUGACAGAAUAGAGCUCUGUUGCAUGCAAAUAUUUUAGUCAAAUAUAUUGUUCAUAUUUAUUGGAACACAAUUGUAAACUUAGUUUACAAUUUUUAUACUUUCAGAUUAAUAUAAUAGGGUAUCUUAAAAUUGGACAACUCGGUUAAUGCAGAAAAUGGCCCACACUUAUCACCACGCCUAAAGUCUUUGUGCUUUAUGGUGUCUUAAUCUUCACCCUAGUCUGUGAUAUUGGUGUCCCAUUUUUCCUGCAACAAUAAUUUGCCCUUAAGAAACUCCAAUCUCCACCACAAAACAUAUGCAUCAAUUGAACUGCCCAUCUUAAUUCUAUACUAUAAUAAAUGCCACACUGAGCAAACACUGAACAGUUGAUACUGCCUGAUUUUGGAUUCAAGCAAAUGUUGUCAUAGUUCUUGAAAAAAAAACAAAUAUAAACCCCUUAAAGAAAUUGGAGAGAAAAAACACCACCCCCUUGGAAUAAUUUCCUCCAAAAUCAAUGCCUGCCUUUCAUUUGUAGUAUGGAACCAUGUUUGUUUUCGGGGUUCAUAAACUCG